AAUCUUUGUUGUGGCCUGAGUGUGAAUUAUUUUAUUUUUGAAAAAAAGCAGACCACCAAGGAGCCACCUUCCUCCAAUGGUGUGGUGCAAAAACAACGACAUGGUCUACACAGUAGUGCCUCUAACGCAAGGACACAGGCAGGCGUCAUAGAGUAUCAUUGAGGAAAUCCUAUCUCUGUUAUUAAAUGUAAGGAUGCUUCUUCUCUUUUCUUAUAUCUAUGAUCCUAUACUAGAUGCUACUGUGAUUGAUAUGGGAGGUGCAUUUUUUUGCAUAUUUGCCUGUACAUAUGCUUUGAGCUGAUCAGCCUUGUGGACACAGGUAAUUUAUAAUUGUGAAU
rnacentral:lncRNA from 7 species